rnacentral:rRNA from 1 species
AUUGAACGCUGGCGGCAUGCCUAACACAUGCAAGUCGAACGGCAGCGCGGGGAGCUUGCUCCCUGGCGGCGAGUGGCGGACGGGUGAGUAAUACUUAGGAAUCUGCCCAGUAGUGGGGGACAACCCUGGGAAACCCGGGCUAAUACCGCGUAAUCUCUUCGGAGGAAAGAGGGCCUCUUCUUGAAAGCUCUCGCUAUUGGAUGAGCCUAAGUCGGAUUAGCUUGUUGGUGGGGUAAAAGCCUACCAAGGCGACGAUCCGUAGCUGGUCUGAGAGGACGAUCAGCCACACUGGGACUGAGACACGGCCCAGACUCCUACGGGAGGCAGCAGUGGGAAUAUUGGACAAUGGGGGCAACCUGAUCCAGCAAUGCCGCGUGUGUGAAGAAGGCCUGCGGGUUGU